UUCAUACUCCCUCCGUCCGAAAAUACUUGUCAUCAAAAUAGAUUAAAAAAGAUGUAUCUCAAACUAAAAUAUGUCUAGAUACAUCCCCUUUUAUUCAUUUUGAUGACAAGUAUUUUCGGACGGAGGGAGUAGAUU
rnacentral:pre_miRNA from 1 species